rnacentral:rRNA from 1 species
GAUGAACGCUGGCGGCGUGCCUAAUACAUGCAAGUCGAGCGAACAGACGAGGAGCUUGCUCCUCUGACGUUAGCGGCGGACGGGUGAGUAACACGUGGAUAACCUACCUAUAAGACUGGGAUAACUUCGGGAAACCGGAGCUAAUACCGGAUAAUAUAUUUAACCGCAUGGUUCAAUAGUGAAAGACGGUUUUGCUGUCACUUAUCGAUGGAUCCGCGCCGCAUUAGCUAGUUGGUAAGGUAACGGCUUACCAAGGCGACGAUGCGUAGCCGACCUGAGAGGGUGAUCGGCCACACUGGAACUGAGACACGGUCCAGACUCCUACGGGAGGCAGCAGUAGGGAAUCUUCCGCAAUGGGCGAAAGCCUGACGGAGCAACGCCGCGUGAGUGAUGAAGGUCUUCGGAUCGUAAAACUCUGUUAUUAGGGAAGAACAAAUGUGUAAGUAACUAUGCACGUCUUGACGGUACCUAAUCAGAAAGCCACGGCUAACUACGUG